rnacentral:rRNA from 1 species
ACGCUGGCGGCGUGCCUAACACAUGCAAGUCGAGCGAGAAUCUAUCAAUUGAUUCCUUCGGGAUGAUUUUGAUAGAGGAAAGCGGCGGACGGGUGAGUAACGCGUGAGUAACCUGCCUUACAGAGGGGGACAACAGUUGGAAACGACUGCUAAUACCGCAUAACAUAUUUUGAGGGCAUCCUCGGGAUAUCAAAGGAGCAAUCCGCUGUAAGAUGGACUCGCGUCCAAUUAGAUAGUUGGUGGGGUAACGGCCCACCAAGUCGACGAUUGGUAGCCGGACUGAGAGGUUGAACGGCCACAUUGGGACUGAGACACGGCCCAGACUCCUACGGGAGGCAGCAGUGGGGGAUAUUGCACAAUGGGGGAAACCCUGAUGCAGCAACGCCGCGUGAAGGAAGAAGGUCUUCGGAUUGUAAACUUCUGUUUUUAGUGAAGAAACAAAUGACGGUAGCUAAAGAGGAAGCCACGGCUAACUACGUG